rnacentral:SRP_RNA from 1 species
GCCAGACACAGUGGCUCAUUCUUGUAGUCCCAGCUACUAGGGAAGCUGAGGAGGAGGAUUGCUGGAAUCCGAGAGUUCUGGGAUAUAGUAUACUAUGCAGAUCAGGUGUCCAUACUAAGUUUGGCAUCAAUAUGGUGACCUUGCGGUAGUGGGGGACCACUAGGUUGCCUAGGGAGGUAUGAAUCGGCCUAGGUCAGAGAGGAAGUAGGUAAAAACCUCCUUACUGCUCAGUAGAGAGAUCAUGCCUAUGACCUGUGAAUAGCCACUGCACUCCAGCCUGGGCAACACAGCAAGUCUCUGU